rnacentral:rRNA from 1 species
CAGUCGCCGCGGGAAUACAGAGGGUGCGAGCGUUAAUCGGAUUUACUGGGCGUAAAGCGUGCGUAGGCGGCUUUUUAAGUCGGAUGUGAAAUCCCUGAGCUUAACUUAGGAAUUGCAUUCGAUACUGGGAAGCUAGAGUAUGGGAGAGGAUGGUAGAAUUCCAGGUGUAGCGGUGAAAUGCGUAGAGAUCUGGAGGAAUACCGAUGGCGAAGGCAGCCAUCUGGCCUAAUACUGACGCUGAAGUACGAAAGCAUGGGGAGCAAACAGGAUUAGAUACCCCUGUAGUCCCUGUCUCUUAUAA